CCUACGGGUGGCAGCAGUGGGGAAUAUUGGACAAUGGGGGCAACCCUGAUCCAGCCAUGCCGCGUGUGUGAAGAAGGCCCUCGGGUUGUAAAGCACUUUCAGUGAGGAAGAACGCCUGGUGGUUAAUACCCAUCAGGAAAGGCAUCACUCACAGAAGAAGCACCGGCUAACUCCGUGCCAGCAGCCGCGGUAAUACGGAGGGUGCGAGCGUUAAUCGGAAUUACUGGGCGUAAAGCGCGCGUAGGUGGCUUGAUAAGCCGGUUGUGAAAGCCCCGGGCUCAACCUGGGAACGGCAUCCGGAACUGUCAAGCUAGAGUGCAGGAGAGGAAGGUAGAAUUCCCGGUGUAGCGGUGAAAUGCGUAGAGAUCGGGAGGAAUACCAGUGGCGAAGGCGGCCUUCUGGACUGACACUGACACUGAGGUGCGAAAGCGUGGGUAGCAAACAGGAUUAGAUACCCGAGUAGUC
rnacentral:rRNA from 1 species